rnacentral:misc_RNA from 1 species
GCAACACUUGGAUAUCAAUGCAUAGCAGCAGCUAUGAAUCAUGUUCCAGAAUUUAGAGCAAGGGGAAGAAAGAAGUAGCUCAGAUUGGAAAGACUAAUACUAGAGAGCCAUACAAAAGUUUUGAAUAGUAGGGAAUUAGGUACAAACUCCGAUAUCCUAAUGUUGUUGAUACUCAGAACAUCGAGGAUGCCAUUUCACCAACUUCUGAUACAACUUGAUCAUAAUCUGUUUUCAGUUUCUCUUGAUCCUCCGGGCUAAGUUCUCCCUUUGCAGGCUUUGUUUGCACCAAAACACAGCAUGUUGGUCUCUUGGUGGCUCCAGCAUUCGCAAGAUCUUCUUUUGAGGAAACGUAGAUAUAUGGUAUUUCAGCAUCCUCACACAGGAUUGGAACAUGAGUGAUGACAUCUAUAGGAGAUAUAUUUCCAGCUAUGAUACACACUCCUUUUUGACCUCGUCGAAUACUCUUCACCACCUCUUUAACGCCCCUCUUCAAGCAUUUUUUCUCAGCAGCUCGCCUAACAAGUUUGAAGAUGCGUUUGUUGAGUUUUUUUCCAGCAAGAGGUUUAGCAAUAGGAGCUAAAGCAAACACCUUCUUCUUCUCCUUUUGUCCACUCUUCUCUACUUCGCUAUCGCUACCCAUUUCUCCCUCCUCUUCCCGUAAACUUUCUGGGGUUUUUUUCUUCUUCUGGAAAGAAAAA